UGUUAAAAAAUUUAUCCAUUUGUACUGUUAAAAACUAGCUUGACUACGUGUACCUCAUGUUGAUGUAUAGAGACCAGUUUUUAACAGCAAAAAUGAAUGAAAUUUUUAACA
rfam:Gossypium raimondii Chr01_contig_147, whole genome shotgun sequence.